CCAAGGAAAAUGGGAACUCAUCUUCUCCAAGGUUUAACAUGAAGAGCUCUGACCAACAACCGCCGGAGAGAUCGAAAUCCAGCUUCCCAAUGUCGCAUCUCCUCCAUUUCACCUGCUACCAGCUUUCUCCAAGGUAAGUCUCUAACCUUUUACUCAUCUUCGCCAUCUGGAGAUCAUAAUCUAUGGAGAUCGCCCCUCAAUCUGAGAAGAGCAUCUCUUGGGUGCCAUUUUUUAUUUUUGUGCUGCUGUAAAAUGCUUCAGGUAAGACUUGAUAAACAUUGAAUUAGAGUUCUUUUUCUCUAGUCUAAUCUUUGAUGGGUUGAAUCCCACAAAGAGAUUAAUACCACCAUCUAAAUUUUAGACCUUUGAAUAAAACAACUAACUCCAUUUUGGUUAUAUGAUUUAUGUGCCUGCAAAACCUUUUGGAGAGAUUGGAUAUGUUGAGGAAGCAAAUAGGAGCUAUCAACAAUCGAAUACACCACUAACAACUUUCGAGUCUUGGUUUUGUAUCACUUCAGACACCUCUAUGCUCUCACCAGGU
rnacentral:lncRNA from 1 species